rnacentral:rRNA from 1 species
GAGUGAACGCUGGCGGCGUGCUUAACACAUGCAAGUCGAACGAGAACGGAUUAUAGCUUGCUAUAAUUGUCAGCUAAGUGGCGCACGGGUGAGUAAUAUAUAGGUAAUGUGCCCUAGAGAAGAGGAUAACAGAUGGAAACGUCUGCUAAGACUCUAUAUGCCUUUAUGACAAAAGUCAGCAAGGGAAAUAUUUAUAGCUUUGGGAUCGGCCUGUACAGUAUCAGUUAGUUGGUGAGGUAAUGGCUCACCAAGACAAUGACGCUUAACUGGUUUGAGAGGAUGAUCAGUCACACUGGAACUGAGACACGGUCCAGACUCCUACGGGAGGCAGCAGUGGGGAAUAUUGCACAAUGGACGAAAGUCUGAUGCAGCAACGCCGCGUGGAGGAUGACACAUUUCGGUGCGUAAACUCCUUUUAUAUGGGAAGAUAAUGACGGUACCAUAUGAAUAAGCACCGGCUAACUCCGUG